GGAACUGUAGUCUAUAACAUCUGGAGGGCUGUGAGUUUGACACCUAUGGCUCAGUGGAUGCAUGUUUUUUUUAAAAAAAUUCCAAAGAUAAUGUAGAAACUAUUCUAAAGGAUUUGACACUUUUGGCUAAGGCAGAGAGCAAGGAAGUUGAGCACCUCCAAGCACUUGGUCAAAUGUGUUCCCUUUGAAGCCACCUUUUAGUAGAGGUAUGAUGUUCAGGCAUCUUAAUCUCUGUUUGUCAGCACUUGUGAGUGGUGCACCUUUGGUUCUUGGCACUGCAAGGGAUGCUCUUCCUCUCUUCCCUUCAUCAAAAAAUGUGUGAAUGUUGAAACAGUUCCACACUUGGCACUAGCAAGCAAAUGUAUUGUUCAAGAAGCAAGUGAUUCUGCUUUCCCUAUAUUUGUCAAUUGGGAGCUAAAAGGAAAGAUAAGGAUCGGGUGUUCAAUUUGGGUUUGUGGGAGUGUUUUAAACAGGUCAAAUGCAGCUUCGGCAGAAAAGGGGGAAUUGGAAAAUUACUGCAAAUCAAACCGCGCUUUGAGCCGUACUGGCGAGCUCUCUGACAUAUAUCCGAGCGGAAGGCCGGUUUAUAAAUGGAAGCAUGAUUUUUGCCUCGAAGCAUUUGGCAAAUUAGAAUGUGAAUGGUGGGCGCCUGGGAGGUGGGCCUCGUUCUCCCAGCACUUAAUUGUUGAGUGGCACCAGCUAGCCGGGUUUGCCGGGCAGCACUACAAUCCACUCCCAGACAUUUUUUUAGAAUAGGCUGCUUUAAUCAAGGUCUGCCUGACUUUCCGCUAAGAUGUUUUGUGCAGCUUGGCCUGGCUUGGAGGGCCCAAACAGCCCACUUCUGGGUUGCGGGAGGCUGAUGUCACCCAGCCAGAGUGAAGGUCUUGCAGCACCAGAGAGAUGCUUCUGCAAAAUGUGGCGUAUGAAAUGACCAUUCGUCUUUGGUACCUGCAGGAGGCAUUUCCUCUCCCAGAAGCCUCCCUUCACAUCCAUGCAUGUGAAGGAACAUGCCAAUCUGCACACUUAGAGACACCCCCCCCCCCCAUGAGAUCCUCCAUCAUCGUCUCUGUCUUGGUCUGCGGGAGUGUUUCAGUGCCCCCCACCCCCACCCCACACACUGGAAAGGGGUGUGUGCUGUGAAACAACCUGCCUGACAUCUUGUCUAAUCAUGCUAUGGCAUAGCUGGGGACAGUGUAGACCAGGGUUGCAGACUCCUGGUGUAGACUUUCUCUCCCAACACAAGUGCAGAUAACUGACCAAGGUGAAACUAAAAGGUUCUGUAAGACAAACUCUGUACUGCACUGACUUCUGCGCUUGUGUGGGGAAAGCUGCAAGGUUGUGGUCUCCAUGCGGGAAAGCAACGGUAGAGGUGAUUUUAAGCGGCCUAUUUUUAAAAUAUUUGUGCCUGGACUGGAACUCUGGAGUCCUCCUGGGACGUCUGGUCAUUUCUGGCAGGAAAAAUGGAGAGGUGGAGCAAAGAAUAACAUUCUAUUUUUGAGAGCGGGUAUUCAUGUCGACCUUUUCCCUGCCCAUGUCCCUUUGACAGGGUUGCAAAUGCCUCUGUCACUGAGCACAAUCUACUUUAGGCGAAGGAAAUUCCAAGGGACUCCCCUCCACAUUUUUGGCCACGUGUGUAGAGAGGUAGGCAGGUGAACAAGUGUCUUCUUGAGCUACUGACACCUGGGGACUAGCAAGUAGAGUCUCUCUUUGGAAUCGGAGGAGGUCAGGUGAGUCAUGGCCAGGCGGCACCUCUAACAUGCACUGGAGAAGACAGCUGUGUUUGGGUGUCUUGCUGCAGAAGCUCGAGUUUUGGCUGUUGACAAACUCUGUGAGGAGUGGGUGGAGGCUGAAGUGCCAGGAACAACAGGACCAUUGGCCAAGUUGCUUUGAGCAUGAAAACAGGGGCAAAGGGGGCUUUCAGGGAAUGGUGGAAGAAACCUUCCAAUUUCCCCAAAUGCUAGUGGAGCAGUUGGUGGGCAGAAAGCAGGAAGAAGUUUAAUCUUUUUUUCCUCCCUCCCUCCCUCCCUCCCUCCCUCCCUCCCUCCCUCCCUCCAGUAGUUCCUGAAAUCAUGUAACUUUUUUUUUACAGUCAUGAAACUGACUACUUAAUGGAUUGGGGGAAAUGAAACUGUUUAUUGUAUUGUUGUACAUAUUGUGCUUUCUAUUCUGUAUAUGAGCAUAUUUUAAAGGUGUGGGGGGGUAUAACUAGAGGCACGUAUUUGCGCUCCGGUGGGAGAGGUCUAAAGGUGAACCAUUUCUUAAGCUUGCUCUAGAAGAACCCCCCCCCCCUUUGUGAUUCACUUUGGGUCAGAGUUGAUCUUCCACUUUUAGCUGCUGGCUGGUCUCGGGCUCAGCAGCAGAAUGAGUGCUCUGACACAGUCGGCCCAAGGGUGUGGAGCGGCCAACGAAGCUGUGCCCACCUGGGCCCUUUGGACUCCUAGUUCCUGGUGGUUCAUCACCACUCACCUGUGAGUGCCAAAAAGAUACCUGCUCUGAUUUCACAGAGCGCAGCGUGGAGCUCUUCUUUUGGUUCCUUCUGUUUUGAAAAGGGAGCCUUUCCCUGCUUGGUAAUCUUGGGCUGUUGGCUCUACUUGUGGGAGUGGAGCGCUGGCUGACACGUGGUUCACCCUCAACUUCUCAAAUACUAGCUAAAGAGUUUUGUUUUCUUAUUUCAUGUACCAAGCGGGCUCCUCUGUAGAAUGGGGAUGGCUCUGGAGCUUUGUCGGUGGGGAAAACGGGUGAGGAGGAUUCUUUGUUUAAAAGGAAGAACCCCCUUACAAUAAACGCCAGACUGCCUGGUUGCUGAAAA